rnacentral:rRNA from 1 species
UACGGAGGGGGCGAGCGUUAUUCGGAAUUAUUGGGCGUAAAGGGCGCGUAGGCGGCUUGUCAAGUCAAAGGUGAAAUCCCUCGGCUCAACUGAGGAACUGCCUUUGAAACUGUCUGGCUUGAGGCCGGGAGGGGGUAGCGGAAUUCCCAGUGUAGCGGUGAAAUGCGUAGAUAUUGGGAGGAACACCAGUGGCGAAGGCGGCUACCUGGACCGGUUCUGACGCUGAGGUGCGAAAGCGUGGGGAGCAAACAGG